GUCUCCGUUGGUGACCAGCGGAGGGUCAUUACCGAGUUAUUCUACUCCCAAACCCCUGUGAACUUAUACCUUUACUGUUGCUUCGGCGGGUUAACGCCCCGGAAGGCCCGCGAGGGCCGCCGGAACCAGGCGCCCGCCGGGGGACCCAAACUCUUGUAUCUUUUUUAUAGCAUGUCUGAGUGGAAUCAUAAACAAAUGAAUCAAAACUUUCAACAACGGAUCUCUUGGUUCUGGCAUCGAUGAAGAACGCAGCGAAAUGCGAUAAGUAAUGUGAAUUGCAGAAUUCAGUGAAUCAUCGAAUCUUUGAACGCACAUUGCGCCCGCCAGUAUUCUGGCGGGCAUGCCUGUUCGAGCGUCAUUUCAACCCUCAAGCCCCAGUGGCCUGGUGUUGGGGACCGGCGACCUCGCCCGGGGGAACACCCCCGGCGCGUCCGCCGCCCCCGAAAUGAAUUGGCGGCCCCGUCGCGGCCUCCUCUGCGUAGUAGCACAACCUCGCAGCGGGAGCGCGACGCGGCCACUGCCGUAAAACGCCCAACUUUUUUUAGAGUUGACCUCGGAUCAGGUAGGAAUACCCGCUGAACUUAAGCAUAUCAAUAAGCGGAGGAAAAGAAACCAACAGGGAUUGCCCCAGUAACGGCGAGUGAAGCGGCAACAGCUCAAAUUUGAAAUCUGGCCCCCAGGGUCCGAGUUGUAAUUUGCAGAGGAUGAUUUUGGCGAGGUGCCUUCCGAGUUCCCUGGAACGGGACGCCACAGAGGGUGAGAGCCCCGUCUGGUUGGACGCCGAGCCUAUGUAAAUCUCCUUCGACGAGUCGAGUAGUUUGGGAAUGCUGCUCUAAAUGGGAGGUAUAUGUCUUCUAAAGCUAAAUAUUGGCCAGAGACCGAUAGCGCACAAGUAGAGUGAUCGAAAGAUGAAAAGCACUUUGAAAGAGGGUUAAAUAGU
rnacentral:rRNA from 1 species